AUCAUUUAUGGUUAUGGUGAUGGA
rnacentral:siRNA from 1 species